GGAACUUCCGCUUCACCAAGAAUUCAGCUCUUAUCUUUCUAUCUGGACACAGCCAUGCUCUUUUGAUCCGAGAUCGACAAAGAGGCUAUUCUGAGUACUAAUUAUGGAACACAUCCGGUCUAGCUGGGGAAGCUGCUUAGGGCCAUUUAUUUGCAAAUACAUAUAUAAGAAGUGGAGACCCUGCUUCAUCUCACUCCCAGGUUGCCCUAAGUGUAGAAAGUUCCCAGCACAAUGCCUGACUUCCUUUGGCACUCGACAAGUGCACGUUGUGUCCCUUUGAGGGAGCACACCGUGGUGGAGCAGGUACAGGUGAGCUGAGGGCAGAGAACAUUUCCUGCCCACCCUUCCUGCCUGCUUACAUGAGUGGUUCCCACCAACUACAUCCAAGAUUUUGCCACUCCCCGGCUACAUGAAGACCUAGGUGAGUCCUGGCACCUUCCGAGCUGCUCCUUCUUGGUUUGUAAGCGGAGCUAAGGUGGCCCGCUCCUGCAGGCUGGCGCUUCCUGAGUACUGGGUGUGAUGCCACGCAAAGCUCACUGCCCAGCAUCGGGAUGGUGAGGUUUGGCCCCCUUGUCAGGACCCAGGCUUCUGAAGAGCACGGCCUGAUAUAACAAGGAAUAGAGGUUUGGGAUUUUGUGACUAUGGGGAGGAGGUCUUUUGAAUGUUAUCGUUUUUCAACCUAAAAAAAGUAUCAUAUGAAGGGAAAGAUGGGUUGAGGUGGGAGACACAGCCACUCUGAGGGACAUAUUUUGAUAGUGGGGGAAUUUAGGGGAAGGGGAAUCUGAGAGGAGAGAGAAUCGAAAUAAUAUUUUUCCUAGAAGUUUUCAUUUUCUCCAGUACUUCAU